UGAGCCAGCCGAAGCUGAGGCCGGGCCGAGCGGCCAGGACGACCUAACGAAGAGGGGGAGCGGAGCCGGCCAGCGGCGGCUUCUCGGGCAGCCCAGGGGCGGCGUCCUGCCGGACGCAGCCAGGCCCGGGUGGUCGCAGGGAGCGCCUCGGAGCGCCCCGCCCUGCUGCCUUGCCUCCCCCCGCCCCCUACCGUCCCCCGCCUCUCUUGGCCCCUCGGCUCCCGAGCGACCGCCCCCGGCUCCGCCCGCCGCCGUUCAGCCCCUCGCGGUAACGGUCGGUAGCGGCCCGCGCGCGCGCCGCCCGCCGGGGGCUCGCGUUGGCCACGAGGGAGCGUCCUCGCCCCGCGCUCCCGCGACGCGAAGGAAAGAAUCGUCUCCAUUUGCCGUGCAGGCGGUAAGUGUGAUGCUUCCGUAACACACUGGGAUGUUUUCAGCUGAGUUGACCGCUGACCUGUGGGCUUCCUCCAGGUGCUGGCUGAACGUCAUCCUUGCACACCCCCGGGCCCAUCUGCGAGCCUGAUCGACAUGGGGUUGCACGGAUGACCGAGAGCUGAAGCAUGACAACAAGUUAGAAAACACACAACACAAAUGUAAAGAAAACUUUAAGCAACUCUGCCGUCCGUAACCCGCACUGGCUAUUGGAAGGAGGAGAUUCUGGAGAUAGGGAGGUUGGCCUGCUGCUCCCUUUGCAGCUGCUGCGGGGAGGCCCGUGGAAUGGAGAGCCCUGUGUGAUUCUGGAGGAUGUCCUUGAUAAUUCAUUCGCAUGCCGUUUCAUUUUCAAGAACCCCAUGUCAGUGAUAAAGACUGAGUCUAAGAUUCUUGAAGAACAAGUGCUAUGUUCAAUUUGUACCCAUAAGAAAAGAUUCUGUCUUCUCAUACUGUGUUACCGUAUCGAAUGCGCAGGUUAAAUUGAAAACGUAAAAGCUUUUUGUAAAGAGCCAGUUAGUAGCUCUAAAAAUGUUUAUGAAGGGUCACGUUGAGUCACGGUGUUUAUAUAUUUCUCACUUUUAAGAAGAAUGCUAUACUUCUCUAGUCAUCGAAAAUAUCUGCUCCCUGAGUUAUAUCUGCGGGAAGAUAUUAGUAGAACAAUAAAGGGCUUCGUGGUGUCCAAUUGCAUAAUGAGGAAGUUGGUGAGCAAGGCGGUAACUAAAAUUAAUUUCUUCCUCUAAAGGAGCUAGUGUACACUUGAACACCAAAACCCUCAGGAAAUCCCCUUGAAUCUUUAAAUCAAACGCUGUGUUUGGUUAACACAACAGGAAGGGGAAAAUACACCAAUCUCAAAGGUUCUUUCCUUCACGCCCAGGUAGCAGUUGUAAGCAGCUGAGAAAAGCGUUACAAUGGAGCCGAGAAAAAAUGGUGAUACCGAAGUGAUUACUGAGAAAGCAGUUUGCGUCUGCGAAACAGUCCAGUAUUAGGGCCUUGACCAACUUUUACCCUUCAUGUGCCUGGGUUAUUGCUACGGUGUGUAAAAUACCAGUCUCUGGAAUAGCUUUAUGCAGAAUGCAAGAGUUUUUUUGAAUUGGCUAAUAGCUCUUGCUGGUCACCUUAAAAUAUGCUACGAUAUUACACAGUUACAAUGUAAUAUUUAUUAACAGAAGGAAAAUAUAAAAUUUAAUAUCUGGGCAACUGAGACCUUUAAACCUAUUUUAAAAGUAUAAUCUUGACAUCUAUGGCACAAUUUUUGUCUUUGUUAUGUAGAUAGAAUUAUGGCUAUUCUACAUUUCAAAUGUUGUAUUUAUUAAUUCCAAAUUCUAUUCUCUGUAUUGGGCUUUUCCAAUAAAAGGUGUACGUGCUUCAGAGAGUGAAA